GACGAACGCUGGCGGCGGGCCUAAUACAUGCAAGUAGGACGCAGUUGCGAACGGGUGAGUAACGCGUAGGUAACUACCUAUUAGAGGGGGAUAACUAUUGGAAACGAUAGCUAAUACCGCCUACUAGUAGAUGGACCUGCGUUGUAUUAGCUAGUAGGUAGGGUAAUGGCCUACCUAGGCAACGAUACAUAGCCGGCCUGGGAGGGGGAUCCGCCACACGGGGACUGGGGCACGGGCCAGACGCCUACGGGAGGCAGCAGUAGGGAAUCUUCGGCAAUGGGGCGAACCCUGACCAAGCAACGGCGCGUGAGUGAAGAAGGUUUUCGGAUCGGAAAGCUCCGUUGUUAAGGAAGCGGUACUUAACCAGAAAGGGACGGCUAACUACGUGCCAGCAGCCGCGGUAAUAC
rnacentral:rRNA from 1 species